rnacentral:rRNA from 1 species
AGAGUUGACCUGGCUCAAGAUGAAUGUUGGCAGCAUGCUUAACACAUGCAAGUCAGAUGGGAAGUGGUGUUUCCAGUAGCGGACGGGUGAGUAACGCAUAAGAGCCUGCCCUUGGGAGGGGAACAACAACUGGAAAUAGUUGCUAAUACCCCAAAGGCUGAGGAGCAAAAGGAUGAAUCUGCCCAAGGAGGAGCUCGCGUCUAAUUAGUUAUUUGGUGAGGCAAUGGCUUACUAAGAUGACGAUCAGUAGUUGGUCUAAGAGGAUGAUCAGCCACACUGGGACUGAGACCCACGGCCCAACUCCUACGGGAGCCAGCAGUAGGAAUUUUCCGCAAAGGGCGAAAGCCUGGACGAGCAAUGCCCGCGUGAAGGCAGAUAGCCACGGGUCAUGAACUUUAUUUCUGGAGAGAAGAAAAAAUGACGGUAUUUGAGGAAUAAGCAUCGACUAACUCUAUGCCAGCAGCCGCAGUAAGACAGAGGAUGCAAGUGUUAUCCAGAAUGAUUGGGAGUAAAGCGUCUGUAGGUGGCCGCUUUUCAAGUUCCCGCGUCAAAAUCCCUGGGCUCAACCCUGACAGCUAGUGGAAACUACCAAGCUGGAGUACGAGAGGCGCAGAGGAAUUAUCUGGUUUUGGAGCGGUGUGGAAAUGCCAUUGAGAUCGGAAAGAACCACCAAUGGUGAAAGCACUCUACUGUGGGCGACAACUUGACACUGAGAGACGGAAAGCUAGGGGAGCAAAUGGGAUUAAGAUACCCCAGUAGUCUAGCCAUAAACGAUUAUGGAUAUAAUGUUGCUGUGCCGUAUGACCCGCGCAGUCUGUAGCUACGCGUUAAGUUAUUCCCACCUGGGGAGUACGUUCGCAAGAAUGAACUCCAAAGGAAUUGACGGGGGCCCGCACAAGCGGUGGAGCAUUGUGGUUCAAUUCGAUGCAAGUGAAGAACCUUACCCAGGGCUUGACAUGCCGUGGAUCCUCCCGAAAGAGAGGAGUAGCCCUCGGGAACGCAGACACAGGUUGGUGCCAUGGCUGUCAGUGGUCAGCUUGUGCGUAAUGGUUUUGGGUUAAGUCCCGCAACGAGGGCAACCUUCGUAUUUAGUUGCCAACAUUGAGUUUGGAACCCCGAAUAGACUGUCAGUGAUAAGCCAAAGAAAGGUGAGGAUGAUGUCAAGUCAUCAUGCCCCGUAUGCCCUAGGCGACACAUGUGCUACAGUGACCUGGACAAAGGGUUGUGACCCCCACCGAGGCAGCUAACCUCAAAAACCCAGCCUCAGUUCGGAUUGCAGGUUGUAACUCGCCUGCAUGAAGCCAGAAUUGCUAGUAAUCGUCGGUCAGUCAUACGGCGGUGAAUCUGUUCCCGUGCCUUGUUCACACCGCCCAUCACACUAUGGGAGCUGGCCACGCCCCAAGUUGUUACCUUAACCACAAGGAGGGGGAUGCCAAAGGCUAAUCUAGUGACUGGAGUGAAGUUGUAACAAGGUAGUUGUACUGGAAUGUGUGGCUG